CAGUAGCCACGGUAAUACGAGGGGAGCAAGCGUUGUUCGGAAUUAUUGGGCGUAAAGGGUGCGUAGGCGGUUCAGCGAGUCUCGUGUGAAAUCUUCGGGCUCAACCCGAAGUCUGCACGGGAAACUACUGGGCUUGAGUAAUGGAGAGGUGAGUGGAAUUUCCGGUGUAGCGGUGAAAUGCGUAGAUAUCGGAAGGAACACCUGUGGCGAAAGCGGCUCACUGGACAUUUACUGACGCCGAUGCACGAAAGCUAGGGGAGCAAACAGGAUUAGAUACCCCCGUAGUCCCUGUCUCUUAUAA
rnacentral:rRNA from 1 species